rnacentral:lncRNA from 1 species
UGCUGAGCAAGUGUGUCUGCCGUGACAUCUGCCAGCUAAGGCAGUAGGGCUGUGCCCCUGACUCCUGGCAUGCCUGCCCCCUGCCACCCUGACAUGCUUGAUCCAGGCUUCAGUGGAACCUGGAGAAGAGGGUCUCUAGUCAAGUUCAAAGUGCCCCAGUCAGGACUAGGGCUGGCUGGGCCACCUGGCUGUCCCUCCAAGGCCCGCUGAGCCUUGGCCUCACCCGAGGGCCAGCUGGACGAAUGCUCCAAUUAAACUUCAGCAAUAAGCCCGCGCGUGGCGCCCGGCCCAGAAAGGUACAAUAACUGUAUAUUUUAACUUAAUGGUUUUUUGGGGGGCAUGCAAAUUUCUGUGAGCAGAUUGUGUUGAGGCCUGGGCUUGGAGCGGCCUCCCUGAGCCCCAGAAGCCCCCCGGAGCACCCCCGGCUCAGUGAAGGUUGCCCGUGUCAAAAUCGAGAUAUCAAACACCGAGGCUGAAAGACAAGGUAGGAGGCAAGCUGAGGUCCAGAGAUGGCAUGACAGCCUGGAGUUCCACAGGGGCCAGCCUUGGGCAAGAUCCUGUGGAGCCUGAAUCCAAACUCAGCCCAAGAUAUUACUUCUGCUCUGGCUGAUUCCAUUUUCCUGCUCAGGGUCAACUCAUACAUCCAUCUUGCAAGGACCUCGUAGGACUCUGUGGUCAGGAAGCCACUUGGGGAGGACCCUCAGAUGAUGUUUUCUGGGGACAGUGAUAUUGGAACCUGUCUUCCCUCCCACCUCAGUGAGCCCUUGGGGAUGUCCAGCUCCAGGAGACAAGGUUAAGGAGGCCAGCAAAAUGGUGGCUUCUUCCCUUCUCACCCUGUUAUUCGGCCCUGGACUUACAGGGAAAACCAGAAGGUUCGAAGCAGCCAGGUCAUGCGGAUGCUUCUUGGAGACACAGCCCACUCUCACCCUUGCCAGAGGAUGGAUGGAGGGGAUGUUGUAGAAGCUUCCAGAAAAAAGUAAGGAGCUUUGUCCAAUGGCAGGUCCUGACCUGCAGCCACAUUUUCUGUAUUCACUCUUUGUCUUGUUGCUGCAACAAAAGACCUUAAAAAACAAGUUUAAAGAGGGAAGAGUUUACUUAUACUCACAGUUUGAGAGAACAGUCAGUUAUGACAGGCAAGGCCCAGUGACAGGACCGUGAGGCAACUGCUAGCAUUGUAUCCACAGUCAGGAAGCAGAGAGGGGUGGAUGCUGGUGUUUAGCUCCCUUUUUAUGCUGUCCAUGUUGAAGAACCUGCCAGAAGCGCUCCGUGGCAGAGAUUAAAACAAUUUCAGAAGCAGGCACCCAGCGCUUCUCUUUGGAUGACUCCACCUCCUAAAGGGUUCAUCCACCUAUCAAUAGCGCCACCAGCUGGGGAACAGAUGAACAACACCGGAACUCUGGGAAUCCAGUUCAAAUCUGACUGUAUUGCCCGAGAGAAGAGUGUCAGGGAGGCAGGACUCAGAGGAAUGCAGCUGCACCAGGUAAAAGUGAUUGGCCUUUCCCUCCCCAGUCCUGUGAUGAGAGGUGCACAUCACCAUGCUGCAUUCAUGGGGUACUAGGCGUCAAACUCAGGGCCUCCUGUAUCCUAGGGCAAGCACUUGACCAACUGAGCCCCACCCCAGCCCUACGGAUUGGUUUUCAGAUAUGGAACCCACACUUGUACUCCUACAACAGAUCUCAUUUGCCGUUCUGAUAUACACUCCUUAUAGUUUGCUAAAUGGGUUCAAUUUGCUAGUGUCUCAUUCAAGGAUUUCUGUACCUGUAUUCAUUCAAUAUACUUACUAAUGUUUUCUUCUUGCUCUGUGUUGGGAAGAAUACUGACCUUGUUUAAUGAAUAUUUUUAGAGAUCUCUGAGCAGAAUCUGUGUUAAUUAUUCUUUAAACUUUGGGAGAAUUAUUAGGAAAGCCUGACUCUGAGCUUUUAUUUGUUAGAAGCCAUUUAAUUGCCCAUUUAACCUAUCAUUAUUAUCAUCGUCAUUUUUAUUGUGGGGAGUGGACUAGGUCCUGAGUGAAUGCGUAUUGUUGGACUAAUGCCUCAGACCCAUGAAAAUGGCAAAGCCUUCCCCUGUCGACGUGUGUGUGCAUGUCUGUGCAGGAAAUGUCAACUGCAGCUUCCCCCUCCCAGAUGUUUAUAGCUCAAGUCUUAUCCUUAGAUAAGUCUUAUCCACUGAGACUCGAUAGCCCUCCUCCUUUCGCUGUACCUAAUGAAUGUCCUGAGUUUCCAGAUUGUGUAGUAGAUGCCCUCCAUCAGAGCAAGUGCAGCCCUCCCAGUUCCAGGUUGCUUCUGUGUACCUGCUUUUUCUUCAUUCUCACCUUUCCCCAAGUCAUGAUUCCAGGACCAAGCCAUGCAGGAUGUUGCUUACUAGCAUCAUCAUCGUCGUCAAUGUCAACGUCAACAUCAAAAUCAAUGUCAUUGUCAGCAGCAGUGUCAUCGUCGUCGUCGUCAUCAUCAUCACCACCAUCAUCUAAGGAUGAGCAAACGUUUUGCCUCCCUGUAUGUCUACGCAACAUGUGCAAGCAAUGCUCAGAGGCCAGAAGAAGGCUCUAAAGUUGGAGUUCUAAGUGGAUGGUUCUAAGCAGCCAGAUGCUGGUGCUGGGAACUAAGAGCAGUACACACUCUCAACCCCUGACCCAUCUCUCUAGUCCCUUUUUAAUGAAGGAGUUCACAGCUCCAAUUUUCCCUCUGAGCAUGCUUUACCACUCAUAAAUGUUGGUGUGUUGUGUUUUGGGAACAUACUUUAUAUGUUUUCUAUACUUCACUCCAUUAAAUCUCAUUUUGUAGUUGAAUAUACUGUUUACCCUCAAGAAUGUUCCGUAUCAACUGGGAAGCAAUGGUCCGUCCACCAUUGCUGUCGCAGGUGGAGUGGAGUGUGAUAUACGGGUGUCUGCUGAGUUGUCUGUCUUUGCUGAUGCCUUCAGGCCUUGGCUUUCUUCCUCUUUCUCAUUGUUCUUUCCGUUAUUGACAAUCCUUCAUUGAAGCUCCAGCUAGGAAGGAAGAAUUCUGUCUUCCAAUUCAAGUUGCUAGCAUUUACUUCCUCUAUUUUGGAGCUCUGUCAUUAGGUGCACAUAUGUUAAUAAUCACAAUGGCCCCUUUAUCAUUUAAUGUAUUUCCUUGUGUUUAAAAAAAUUCCUCUCUCUCUCUCUCUCUCUCUCUCUCUCUCUCUCUCUCUCUGUGUGUGUGUGUGUGUGUGAGAGAGAGAGAGAGAGAGAACAUUUGCCAUACUGUGGAUGUGUGCAUGUGCAGUUCAAAGGACCUGGGGAUUGAGUUUGGAUGGCCAGCCUUGGAGGCAGGCAUCUCCCCACUGAGCCAUCUUCAUUUCUGAUAUCAGCACAUGCGUUCUAUCUCCCUUAGACUACUUUUGCACACAGAAUCUUUCUCUACCCUUUUACUUUCACCCUAUUUCUGUCUAUUCAUUUAAGAUGAAUCUCUUAUAUACAGUAUAUAGUCAGGUCAUUUAAAAAGCCCAUUCUCCCAAUCUUCUACCAUUUAAUUGGAUAGUUUAACCCACUUACAUUUAAUGUAAUUAUUAUUAAGGAAUAAUUUACUUUUAUAAUUUUACUCCAUUACUGUCUUAUUUUUAUUACAUAAACCAUCUUCAUUUCUUUGUCAUUUAUCUCACUGUACAUUUUAAAGUUAUUUUUAUAGUAUUUUCCCUGGGGAUUACAAUUAAAGUAUAAUUUAUAACAUU